UUGUUGCGACACUAGUUAUGAAGG
rnacentral:piRNA from 1 species